GACGUAGGGGGCCAGCGUUGUUCGGAAUUACUGGGUGUAAAGGGUUCGUAGGCGGUGCGGCAAGUUGGGAGUGAAAUCUCUGGGCUUAACCCAGAGGCUGCUUCCAAAACUGCUGUGCUUGAGUUUGGGAGAGGGAUGCGGAAUUCCAGGUGUAGCGGUGAAAUGCGUAGAUAUCUGGAGGAACACCGGUGGCGAAGGCGGCAUCCUGGACCAACACUGACGCUGAGUGAGCGAAAGCCAGGGGAGCAAACGGG
rnacentral:rRNA from 1 species